GACUUGUUGUGGAGAUGAAUCAGAGUUAUGUAGUGAAGGAGACUGCUGUCUGCAGGACCCCUGCUUCAUUUGUUGCAGACAUUAGAAGAGACUCCAAUCAAGAUUGGGGACCCACUUUAGAAGAUAUCAGAGGGAUAGCCGUGUUAGUCUGGAUCUGUAAAAGCAGCAAAGAGUCCUGUGGCACCUUAUAGACUAACAGACGUAUUGGAGCAUGAGCAUUCGUGGGUUUCAUCAGGAAUACAAUUCUGAAUAAAAUAUUCAGAUGGGUUUAACACAGAUACAUAAGAUGGCUAUCCAGGAAACAUGUCAAAGAUGUCAGUUUCAAGGUGACAAGUACUGAAUAGCGAAGGAAAAAUAAUGAAAAACAGUGGCCUUAAGCUAUAUGUGCAAAAUAAACCUAAUAACUAGUUGAAGUACAAAG